rnacentral:rRNA from 1 species
UACGUAGGCAGCGAGCGUUGUUCGGAGUUACUGGGCGUAAAGGGUGUGUAGGCGGUUGGUUAAGUUUGGGGUGAAAUCUCCCGGCGCAACUGGGAGGGUGCGCCGAAUACUGAAUGACUUGGAGUGCGGGAGAGGAAAGUGGAAUUCCUGGUGUAGCGGUGAAAUGCGUAGAUAUCAGGAGGAACACCGGUGGUGUAGACGGCUUUCUGGACCGUAACUGGCGCUGAGACACGAAAGCGUGGGUAGCAAACAGG